UAGGAAAUAAUAUAGAGGAAGUAUGGAGGAUUUUGAUUCCUUUUGUGUAGGUUCCAUUCCUGCUUUUCUAA
rnacentral:tRNA from 1 species